rnacentral:lncRNA from 1 species
AUAAUUGCUCUGUGCCUUACUGUUCAUUUUCCCAUCCCAUCCCAGCAGUGUUGCCACAGGUUAAUGACAAUGGUCAUCUCUGCUUUCCAGAAGAAGAAACUGAGACUUGGAGAGUUUGGGUCACUUCAUCUCAAGUCACACAGCUGUAUGUGGAUGGACACGACUCCAAUCCAGACUGGUCUGUCCACGGCCUUCCAGUGAGAACCUCUGCAGCCCAAAGCCAUGCUGACAUACGGCAGAAGAACACACAGUUACAGAUGCAGCAUCAGAUGAGCAGUCUGCUGUUUCUCCUAGACUGUUCCCAAAAUGUUAUCAGAUGGUUCUCAAGACUUGUUUGCAGCCUUGAACUUCUGAGCCGUGGCUCCGUGUGUAGAACCACAACUGCAGUUCCUAUUCCAAUCCGUGUCCCAAAGUAACCUUCUCCUCUGCACAGCAACCUUUCUCCAAAGAGUUAUCCUAAGAAAAUAAAUAAUGAUGGACCAAAAGUUAGCUGCAAGUAGCAAUCCAUAGGAUUUUACGUUUUUAGGAAGAAAAAGUGUGUACAUGUGCCUCUAAGACAAAGUCCAGAAGAAUAUGUAUACCAAAGGAUUAAUUGUGCUUUGUCACAGUGAGCAACCACAGGUGGUGUGGAGGAUGAAAAAGAUUACAGUGGACCCUUGACUUACAAAUUCAAUUCAUUUCUCAGGGCUGAUUAUAACUCACAUUGGUCAGUUGAAGGCUCAGGCUUCUCUACUCAGCCUUCAAAGUCUCUCCUGUCUACGGGAAGAUCUCAGGGUCUUUAGAGAGACAUUGGCCCAGGAUUUCCCAGUUAACUCCCCACAG